rnacentral:lncRNA from 1 species
GGGGUAUCUAGUUUAAAAAAUGUGUCCGGUGACCCGGCCAACCAACCAAGAUGGCCGCCAUGGCUAAAAAUAGAACAUAGGGGUAAAAUGCAGUUUUUGGCUUAUAACUCAAAAACCAAAGCAUUUAGAGCAAAUCUGACAGGGGCAAUAUUGUUCAUCAGGUCAAGAUCUAUCUGCCCUGAAAUUUUCAGAUGAAUCGGACAUUUCGUUGUUGGGUUGCUGCCCCUGAAAUGGUAAUUUUAAGGAAAUUUUGCUGUUUUUGGUUAUUUUCUUGAAUAUUAUUAUAGAUAGAGAUAAACUGUAAACAGCAAUAAUGUUCAGCAAAGUAAGAUCUACAAAUAAGUCAACGUGACCAAAAUGGUCAGUUGACCACUUUAGGAGUUAUUGCCCUUUAUAUUCAAUUUUUAACCAUUUUUCGUAAAUCUUAGUAAUCUUUUAGAAAAAUCUUCUCCUCUGAAACUACUGGGCCAAAUUUAACCAAACUUGGCCAUAAUCAUCAUUGGGGUAUCUAUUUCAAAAAAUGUGUCCGGUGACCCGCCUUACCAA